CUAUUUUGGACCAUUUUAGAAUAAAAGGGAAGAGAGGAAAAAUUGAGAGCAUUAUGCUCUUGGCUGCCGUGUGUUAGAGAGAGGAAGAGAGAGAGAGAGAGAGAGUGGCCUGAUAGAGAGAGAAGGAGAAGGAAGAAAGGAAGAAGAAGGAGAAUAGAAACCAAGUCUAGAGCUUGAACAAUGGGUGGUAAAUUUUGGGUGUUGAUCAAUUUGUGUUCUUGAUUCUACAAUCAAGAGAGUGAUCUGUGAUUCGAGACGAUCCUAGUGAACAGAUUAGCGAAACAGUCACGACGGGAAUUUAUACCCGGCUCGGGGUGAGCCUGGGGGUAUAAAUGGGAAUUUAGUGAGUAUAUUGGAGUCUAUUUUGACAUCGAGGAAUAUAAUUGGUGAUUAAUUAAGUAUCGGGAAGUAAGCGGGAAAUAUUAGAGACACUUGAGGAAAUUAGCGGGAAUUGGGUAAAAUGACCAAAAUGCCCCUAAGUGGAUUGAAGGUUUAAAAUUAAAAGGGAGGGCAUAAUGGUCAUUUGGCUUGCAAGAGAUAAGUAUUAUGAGGCUUUAUACUUAGUGGGAAUUGUAGAAAAGGGUAGAAGGCUAAGGAAAGAAAGAAAAAGAAAAAGAGAGAAAACAGAGCAGUUUUUCCAAAGGGUCGGUUUGUGGUUCUCUCACCAUUUCUCUUCAAUUUUCUUGGAGCAAGACUCAGAAGGGAGCUAGGUUAGGCUGAGCAACAAGAGUACUAAGCUAAGCUUGAAGGGCUGACAAAGGAUUAGCAAGAACAUAUCAAUAUUUGAGGGGAAUUCAAGCCAAGGUUUGAGAAGGAGCAAGCUAAGGAGGUCUAGAAGCUAACUCAAAGUCGAAUUUCCAUCAAAGGUAUAAAAAUUCUAAGCUUUAAACUUUGAAGUUUUGACUGUGUUUUGUUGAAUUCUGAGGUCUAGGAGUGUCUAUGGUGAAUUUUGAGAUUAGGGAUGCAUGUGCUUGGGUUUUGAGUAUUUGGGAUGCUUGGGAUGAGAGGAGUGUGUUAAUAAGCUUAUUUUUGAGUUUGGUGAAGACUUGAAGAAGUUUUGGUUAAGUUUGGUUUGAGGAAAUCACAGGAAGGGAAAAUGAGGUGUUGCCUGUCUGUGACUAGCGCUACAGCGCUAGCCUUUGGGCGCUGUAGCGCUAGGUCAUGCUUUCUGGGGGAUUUUGGUUCUGCUUGUAGCGCCCUCCUUAGAGCGCUGUAGCACUGCCCUGUUUCCAGAAAGGGAUUUUAGGGUUAUUUACAAGGGUUUUUGACCAAGGGUUCGGGGUUCGAUUCCACCACCCUGUUUGGUGGAAUUAGGACUUCCUGAGGGCUCGGGAUUGGUCUCGAGGCUAGGUUAUGGACUUGAGGGUUGGUGAUGACUUUGGCCUAUGAUUGUGAUUAGGUUUGCGCUAGGGCUUGGGAAGGAUCGUGCUUGAGGAUUUCAUUGAGCAAAGCUAGUGUAAUGCCCCGAAUUCCCCGAUGUGUUUAACGGCAUGAAUAGUAGGCCGGGAGGGCCGUACCUGUUUAAUUAUGUUAUUAAUUGAUUAAAUGCAUGUAUAUGUUGAUUAUAUUAUGAUAUGAUGUGAAAUGCAUGCAUGUGAGUCCAUAUUUCUUUAUACAGGGGUGUGAUGGUAAUUUGGCCCGUUGAGGGUAAAUUGGUUAUUUGAAUGCAUGUUGGUGAUAUAAAUUGAGACCACAUUAUGAUGUGGGUUUGUUCGAGCCAUUUGGCAUGAGACGAUCAAGGAAUGUUAAUUAACGGUUUGGUCAUAACAGGCUUAAGCUCGGGGCUCGGGGUGAGUCUCGGGGUGUUUUAAUGAUUAGAGUGUUAUCGGGCAUUAAAGGGUAACGGGAUGUGAAAUAUUGGAGUUUGAGAAUAUUGAGAUUAACGGGAGUUGGGAAGCGUUAGUUAUGAUUAACGGGAUUGUUGGAAAAUACCAAAACUACCCUUGAGUUGGUUUUAGAAGCUUUUAAAGACCUAGGGGUAUAAUGGUCAUUUGUGUUUUGGAUAUAUAUGAUGUAUAGAUGGCUGUGAAACAGAACCCAAAACAGAGUUCUCCUCUUCUUCUUCCCGUACCUUCUUCUUGCUUCUUCUUCCUUGUGAGUUUUGUGAACUUGUUGAAGGUUUGAGCUUGGGAGCUAAGCCUUGUUACUUUGGGAGAGUGUUCCACAGUGGAAGAGCACCAUAACCUGAACUUGA